UUUAAUCAAGAUUGGUUUAAGGUCAGAUUUUUCAUAUUUUGAAGGUUAAUAAAACUUUUAGAAAAAAGUUCUCAUUCAGCAGGAGGAUUUUAUAUUUGAGGCCAACCUAAGCUACUUAGUGAGACAUCCCCCAAGCCUCCCCACUCCAAAAACAACAACAGCAGCAACAACAAAAUGCUAAAGACCAGUUCUUACAGGUUUUUAGAAAAUGAAAAUAAAAUCCUUGGUUUCUCUUAUAUACUGCCAACUCUUUUGUGCAGUAGCCGUCAGAUUGCUGAGAAAGUUAGACUGGAUAAGUAUUAUUUAGCUAAAUCUAAAGUACUCAAAAAUUCAAAUAAUGGUUCACAUGUGAAUCGAGUUGGAAUGGCUGGGUUGACUUAAGGGGUCCUUCACUGAUAGCAGAGGGACUUUCCAUGUGAAGUAACUGUUUUCAGUUCUACCUGUUAAUCCUUUAGUGAAAUUGAACCUAAUCUAUUUGUCUUGCAGGAUCCAUCUAAUUGAUGAGUUUAAUACAGAUAUGGAUAUCUUUGUGUUUCUCUUGUCAACUAAGGCGGGUGGAUUAGGAAUAAACCUGACCUCAGCAAAUGUUGUUAUACUUCAUGACAUUGACUGCAACCCAUACAACGACAAACAAGCGGAAGACAGGUGCCAUAGAGUUGGUCAGACUAAAGAAGUAUUAGUUAUUAAAUUAAUAAGCCAAGGAACGAUUGAAGAGUCCAUGCUAAAAAUUAACCAACAAAAGUUGAAGCUAGAGCAAGACAUGACUACAGU
rnacentral:lncRNA from 1 species